rnacentral:lncRNA from 1 species
GAGAGUAUUUGUGCUGAUUUUAGAAGAAGCUGAAAAGCCUCAGGAGGCUGGAGAGAAAUCGUGUUUUAAUUUGAUAGCACAACUACAAAACUAAGCAUCAACUUCUCUACCUGCUCUUCUGGAAAGCUAGGUAGAAGCCCAUACAGGCUCUAGAGUGCCCUGCUCCUUCCUAGACCUGUAGCCUACAGCAGUGCUGGCUCUGCUUCUGCCAUCAACAGCGACAAUCACAGCACAAUUACUUUAUCUGGAAAACACACCCCAUUCAAACAACCCUACAAGAUAUUCAGUGAUCAUUGAGUAUCUGC